rnacentral:rRNA from 1 species
ACGCUGGCGGCGUGCCUAAUACAUGCAAGUAGAACGCUGAAGAGAGGAGCUUGCUCUUCUUGGAUGAGUUGCGAACGGGUGAGUAACGCGUAGGUAACCUGCCUUGUAGCGGGGGAUAACUAUUGGAAACGAUAGCUAAUACCGCAUAACAAUGGGUGACACAUGUCAUUUAUUUGAAAGGGGCAAUUGCUCCACUACAAGAUGGACCUGCGUUGUAUUAGCUAGUAGGUGAGGUAACGGCUCACCUAGGCGACGAUACAUAGCCGACCUGAGAGGGUGAUCGGCCACACUGGGACUGAGACACGGCCCAGACUCCUACGGGAGGCAGCAGUAGGGAAUCUUCGGCAAUGGGGGCAACCCUGACCGAGCAACGCCGCGUGAGUGAAGAAGGUUUUCGGAUCGUAAAGCUCUGUUGUAAGUCAAGAACGAGUGUGAGAGUGGAAAGUUCACACUGUGACGGUAGCUUACCAGAAAGGGACGGCUAACUACGUGCCAGCAGCCGCGGUAAUACGUAGGUCCCGAGCGUUGUCCGGAUUUAUUGGGCGUAAAGCGAGCGCAGGCGGUUUGAUAAGUCUGAAGUUAAAGGCUGUGGCUCAACCAUAGUUCGCUUUGGAAACUGUCAAACUUGAGUGCAGAAGGGGAGAGUGGAAUUCCAUGUGUAGCGGUGAAAUGCGUAGAUAUAUGGAGGAACACCGGUGGCGAAAGCGGCUCUCUGGUCUGUAACUGACGCUGAGGCUCGAAAGCGUGGGGAGCGAACAGGAUUAGAUACCCUGGUAGUCCACGCCGUAAACGAUGAGUGCUAGGUGUUGGAUCCUUUCCGGGAUUCAGUGCCGCAGCUAACGCAUUAAGCACUCCGCCUGGGGAGUACGACCGCAAGGUUGAAACUCAAAGGAAUUGACCGGGGGCCCGCACAAGCGG